rnacentral:rRNA from 1 species
UACGUAGGGUCCGAGCGUUGUCCGGAAUUAUUGGGCGUAAAGGGCUCGUAGGCGGUUCGUCACGUCGGGAGUGAAAACUCGGGGCUUAACCCCGAGCCUGCUUCCGAUACGGGCAGACUAGAGGUAGGCAGGGGAGAGCGGAACUCCUGGUGUAGCGGUGGAAUGCGCAGAUAUCAGGAAGAACACCGGUGGCGAAGGCGGCUUGCUGGGCCAGUUCUGACGCUGAGGAGCGAAAGCGUGGGGAGCGAACAGG